AAGGUAACCUGGCUCUGUAAUCUAGUGUUAGUUGUGUUGACUUCCUGCAGAGUGCGCUCCAGACUCAGGCGAUGGAUGAGAAGGACAAAGCUCAGCGGCUGCAGACGGAGCUGGACGUCAGUGAGCAGGUUCAGAAGGACUUCGUCAAACUCUCUCAGACUCUUCAGGUUCAGCUGGAGCGAAUACGACAGGCGGACUCUUUGGAGCGAAUCAAAGUCCUCCUCAACGACACAAACUUCACUGACAUCAACCAGCUUCCAGACACAUGAUGACACUGACAGGAAACUGCUUCAGCUUCAUUCCCCCUCCCCCUCCUCCUCCUCCCCUUCCCCCUAACCACCACAGAAGAAGAGUUUUGGAGGGACUAAAGGAGCCUUUUUCUUGUGUACAGAGCACACUGCGGAUAAUAGAAUAAUGAAGAAGAACACUACUACUACUAAAACAAGAAAAAUGUAAAUAAGUAAAUGUGUGAUUGUUGACGGGGGGAUCUCCCUGUGGGUCUGUCUGUGUCUCGUUUCUACUGUAGAUAUAUAUUUCCGUCUGUUAGCUCAACCAAAAAAGGUUUGUCGUCGUCUAAAAGCACUUUUCAUCUCUUUCCAGGUCAAUUUAGACAAAAAUUGGAUGCAUACAUUUUCCUCGUCCUUGCUUCCCUUUUCCACUCGCUUCCUCUUUCCUUUCCACUGUUGUUGUUCUGUGACAUUUUCCUCCUUGUUUUGGCUCAUUCUCGCCCUGUGACAAAGACACGAUGAAGGACACUCGUUGGAAAUACUUGCACAUAAUUUAACUGAGAACAGGAUUUCAGCAACAUCCUUCAUCUUCUCCUCACAUCUGACACGACAUUUUUUAAAAGCUGCACAAACACAGGGAAGAAAUAUCCAUGUCCUGUUUCAAAGAUUUAUUUUCCACCCUUCUUGAAAAUCAUGAAGACACAGAGGAAGUGGAAGUGGAUUUUAUACCGCGUUUCCUUUUGAUUGGUUUCCUUAGUGUAAUUUAAAAGCUGUUGAAUAACAAUGAGCAGUCAAAGAGCAAUUAGCUGCUCAUUCAAAGACACUUAAAACCUCUUGAGAAUUCAGUGGGUAAAAUCCCAACAAAAUUAAUUUCACUUUUUGUAUUAAUGAUGUGUCGACAAGGUUAAUUAAUCACCGCUUUGAGGCUGCUAAUGGGUUUCAUUUCAACACUUUUAAAGCUGGGUUAUGCAGAGUUUCUUUUACCGUUAUUGAGUAAAAAA